rnacentral:rRNA from 1 species
GACGAACGCUGGCGGUGUGCUUAACACAUGCAAGUCGAACGGAAAGGCCCUGCUUGCAGGGUGCUCGAGUGGCGAACGGGUGAGUAACAGGUGGGUGAUUUGCCCCUUAUUUUGGGAUAAGCCUGGGAAACUGGGUCUAAUACUGGAUAGCACCUUGCUGUAGGUGGUGUGGUGGAAAGAUUAGUUGCGGUUAGGGAUGAGCUCGCGGCCUCUCAGCUUGUUGGUGGGGUACUGGCCGAGCAAGGCGUCGACGGGUAUCCGGCCAGAGAGGGUGGACGGCAAGGUUGGGACUGAGAUACGGGCCAGACUCGUGGGGUAUGCAGCAGUGGGGAAUAUCGCACAAUAGGCGCAAGCCUGAUGCAGCGACGCCGCGUGGGUGAUGACGGCCUUCUGUUUGUAAACACCUUCCGGCCAUGACGAAGCCGUUGUGGUGACGGUAGUGGUAGAAGAAGCACCGGCUAACUACGUG